CAGAUUGUGGGCACGCUGUCCAAGCCUGAGAGCCCGCGGCCUGACUUUGCGGUGGAGACGUACUCUGCCAUCUCUCGAGAAGACCUUCUCAUGCGCCUGCUGGAGUGUGAUGUUAUCAUUUAUAACAUCACUGAGAGCUCACAGCAAAUGGAGGAAGCCAUCUGGGCAGUCUCUGCACUCAGUGAAGAAGUCAGCCACUUUGAAAAGCGAAAGGUAUUUAUUUUACUUUCGACAGUGAUGACUUGGGCGCGAUCCAAAGCCCUGGACCCCGAGGAUUCUGAGGUUCCAUUCACUGAAGAAGAUUAUCGAAGAAGAAAGUCUCAUCCUAAUUUUCUGGACCACAUAAAUGCUGAAAAAAUGGUUCUCAAAUUUGGAAAAAAGGCUGUUGUCUAUGCACAUUGUUGUCCUCAGCGCAUUUCCUGGCAUGGAGCUGAGAUUCAGACAGAGCCAUCAGCCACCAAAGCCUGCUAGGUUUGCUUUUUUUCUUUGGAAUCUGAAACCCCAUCAUUCAAUAGAAUUUAUCUUGACA
rnacentral:sRNA from 1 species